GCAGUAGCCGCGGUAAUACGGAGGGUGCAAGCGUUAAUCGGAAUUACUGGGCGUAAAGCGCACGCAGGCGGUCUGUCAAGUCGGAUGUGAAAUCCCCGGGCUCAACCUGGGAACUGCAUUCGAAACUGGCAGGCUAGAGUCUUGUAGAGGGGGGUAGAAUUCCAGGUGUAGCGGUGAAAUGCGUAGAGAUCUGGAGGAAUACCGGUGGCGAAGGCGGCCCCCUGGACAAAGACUGACGCUCAGGUGCGAAAGCGUGGGGAGCAAACAGGAUUAGAUACCCGUGUAGUCCCUGUCUCUUAUAC
rnacentral:rRNA from 1 species